GCCUCUUCCACUGGGAAGCGAUGGGGGAUAGUCGGCGGAUCCGCUCUGACUUCAGCAGUCGGGGCCGACUGAUCUUCGGUAGCCGGCUCUGCGUCUUCUUCGGCUUCCGCCCUGGUGGAAAGGCCUUCCGACACUGGUUCGGCCGUCUCCUCCGCAGCUGGGGCCUCCGACUCUGGCAGAACUACGCUGCUGAGAUCAAGUUCCGGAUACAGGCCUCGAACGGCUUCUCGAGCAUCCUCGUACCCGACCCGGUACGAG
rnacentral:lncRNA from 1 species